CUAAAUAGAAACCUAACUGAUCAUAUGGCAGCUUGAAAAUGGCUUCUUAAACUAUACUUUGAGCAAAAGUAUAAGUUAUUAAAUUGUGUUUAUGACGCUUACUGCAGCUAGGAGGUAAAAUGAUUUUACUCUACUUUUCCGGAUGUGUGUGACACAAUUGGUUAUUGCAAUGAAGUCUUAGGAUUAGGCUUUUUCAUUGUUAUCAUUUAUCUAAAAUGUAACUUUGUUACCCAUAACAAUUAAAUAAAUAAUACAAACUCACCUUGUAAAAUGCUUAUGUUUUCUAAUUAGGGUUCAGCUUGCUAUUUUCUGCUCAGUGGGAAGAACUGGCUGAGAAGUAGAAAACCUGGAAUGGAGCUGGAGCCAAGGGAAUACUGAACAUGCUGGAAGAGGGCUUCAGAGUCUGAUGGCUACAUUUUAGCCAUUCAAGAUGCAGCUGACUUGCGACAGAAUGCUAGUGCUCCAGACUGUCCAGGCUAUUUGCCAAGACUGUGGAUUAAAGUGCAUAAAGUAAAGUCAUCCAUCACCCCCUCUGACAGAGGACGAAAUGGGGUCCAUGUCGCCAAGAUCCCCUGGAGUAUCUCUGCUGCCCCUUUGCGCCAAUGCAACAGGACAUCUGGGUCACUGGACUCAUAUGAUUUAUUCUUUUCAGUCCCCGGAGGAAAUGUGAAAAGGGCAUUGAAUGUCACCAGAGAGUUCCGGAUCCCUUAUGAUUGACAGAUACCCUUGUUGAGAUGCCAACCAAAUGAAAUAUGAAUGCAGCUGUGUGCAUUAUGCUUGAAUCACAUGUGUAGAUUUUUUUUAAAGAUAUAUAUAUUUUAACAUUUCAUAUUCACA
rnacentral:lncRNA from 1 species